ACAACGUCUUUGAAAGUAGGCAUU
rnacentral:miRNA from 1 species